rnacentral:rRNA from 1 species
GUGGUUUAAUUCGAAGCAACGCGAAGAACCUUACCAGGUCUUGACAUCCCGAUGCUAUUCUAGAGAUAGAAAGUUACUUCGGUACAUCGGUGACAGGUGGUGCAUGGUUGUCGUCAGCUCGUGUCGUGAGAUGUUGGGUUAAGUCCCGCAACGAGCGCAACCCCUAUUGUUAGUUGCCAUCAUUCAGUUGGGCACUCUAGCGAGACUGCCGGUAAUAAACCGGAGGAAGGUGGGGAUGACGUCAAAUCAUCAUGCCCCUUAUGACCUGGGCUACACACGUGCUACAAUGGUUGGUACAACGAGUUGCGAGUCGGUGACGGCGAGCUAAUCUCUUAAAGCCAAUCUCAGUUCGGAUUGUAGGCUGCAACUCGCCUACAUGAAGUCGGAAUCGCUAGUAAUCGCGGAUCAGCACGCCGCGGUGAAUACGUUCCCGGGCCUU